rnacentral:rRNA from 1 species
GACGUAGGUGGCGAACGUUAUCCGGAAUUAUUGGGCGUAAAGGGUGCGUAGGUGGUCUGAUAAGUUAUCAGUGGCAAAUCGAGGCUCAACCUCGUGGAAACUGGUAAUACUGUAAGGCUUGAGUGCAGGAGAGGUUAACGGAACUCUAUGUGGAGCGGUAAAAUGCACAGAUAUAUAGAAGAACAUCAAUAACGGCGAAGGCAGUUAACUAUUCUGUUACUGACACUGAGGCACGAAAGCGUGGGGAGCAAAACGG